rnacentral:rRNA from 1 species
GACGAACGCUGGCGGCGUGCUUAACACAUGCAAGUCGAACGGUGAAGCGCCUUCCUUUUUGGUGGGUGUGGAUGAGUGGCGAACGGGUGAGUAACACGUGAGUAACCUGCCCCCUUCUUCUGGAUAACCGCAUGAAAGUGUGGCUAAUACGGGAUAUUCUGGGUCUGUCGCAUGAUGGGUCUGGGAAAGAUAUUGUUUCGGUGGGGGAUGGGCUCGCGGCCUAUCAGCUUGUUGGUGGGGUGAUGGCCUACCAAGGCGGUGACGGGUAGCCGGCCUGAGAGGGUGGACGGUCACACUGGGACUGAGACACGGCCCAGACUCCUACGGGAGGCAGCAGUGGGGAAUAUUGCACAAUGGGCGCAAGCCUGAUGCAGCGACGCCGCGUGAGGGAUGGAGGCCUUCGGGUUGUGAACCUCUUUCGCCAGUGAAGCAGGCCUGCCUCGUUUGUGGGUGGGUUGACGGUAGCUGGAUAAGAAGCGCCGACUAACUACGUG